UGACCUGGUCGAGCGGCCGCUGGUGCCUUCCGGCACGAGAGGAAAGUCCGAGCCCCGCAGAGCAGGAUAACGGCUAACGGCCGCCGGGGGUGACCCCAGGGAAAGUGCAACAGAAAUAAACCGGCUACCGGCGCUUCGCGCCGCGCCAAGGAUGGAACGGCGAGGUAAGAGCUCACCAGCAUGGUGGAGACAUCAUGGCUAUGUAAACCCUAUCCGGAGCAACACCGACUUGUGAGGCCUGCUCGGCCGCUGACACAGAAGGGUGGCUUGAGCCGGUCAGCAAUGACCGGCCUAGAUAGAUGGUCGCUUUAGAAGACAGAACUCGGCUUAUACACCAGGUCACACA
rnacentral:RNase_P_RNA from 1 species